AGGGGCUUAGGACUAACAAAACCGAGAGCCUUCAAAGCCCUAAAUAAGAGACGUACCCUCUUAGCCCCUG
rnacentral:tRNA from 1 species